ACUCCCAUGGCGUUCCCAGCCUUUGCCGGGCUGGGCCUGCACUGAUUUAUGUGGCAGUCCUGAGUCAUACUCUCAACCUGAAAAGGAUUUGCUCUCCUAUAUUUACAGGGGUAGUCAGGCCGGCUCUCUUGAAAUACAGAAAGCCCUGUCUCCGGGCCUCAGUCCCCAUGGUUUUCUCCCCUUCUCUGCCUCAGUAACAAGGACAUCUGGGACCUUACAAGAAUCAGCCGAGACUCCAGUGUUUUUAUGAUGGAGUCUUUCUGCAGAGGAGAGGUCAGAGUCCAUGCACUCGCUCCUUGCAACCACAUGGCCACGUUGUGGUAUGCAGAUACCCAGACACAGCUCCACUACCACAGUGGCUCAGACCACCUCCGAGGUUUCAUUAUCAUCGCUGGGACUCACUAAUGGCUUGACGGCUUCACUGAGCGGGCAGCUGGAGAGGAGAAUCCAGGGAAGACGGAAAAGAAGAAGAAGCAAAGGGAGGAGAAUAGGGGCACAAGGAAAUGGGGGAUGAGGGGAACAAGUCAUGGAGGACAAAGAGGUUAACAUGAGGGACAAUACGAUGAAGUCCAACUGCUUCCUUGAAAAUCAGCAGAGACUGAAGGAGGAUGAAGCAACAGGGCAAAAGUAAUGUCAAAGAGCCAGUCUGGAAAUCCAACAGAGUGCUCUCUGCAUGGCUGGGUGACCAUGCCUGAAAAAUGUUUCAAGUAUAUAAAUCCACCUCCCAUACAUCCACACCUCCACCUUGUAUGUUUGCAACAGCUAACCUCACAACAUGCAGACGGACCGGGGGAGGGAAUUCAGCUUCACUUUUUCCUUUCCAGACAAAUGACACCCUGACAGUUGGAAAAAUGUUGGGGUCCCUGAACAGAUUUCUCAGUUAUAAAAAUAAAAUGUGUUGGAUUAGACAAAGACAGACAUUUUAUAUUCUACUUUUGAACCCCAAUGAGAGCACUGACAAAUGCCACCCCACCCCCACUCCGUCUGUGCCAUAAUUGUUGUUUUUUUUUUCCUUCUCUCUUUCCAGAAAUGUCAUAUAGUUAAGAGGUGAUAAAUCUAUAUGGCAUAAACAGACACGGAUUUCUCCCAAGUGUAUGUAUAGCAUAUAGGCUGACAGCUUGAGAUGGUGUUUGUCUUUGCAUCAUGCUAAAUUGGCAUGAAUUUAGUUGUUUUUUUUUUUGUUUUUUUUUCUUUACUAAGAGAUUGUGAGCAAAAGAUUAGAAAUUGGGAGGAAUCUUAAAAAUUGUUUAAACUGAAAUGAAAAAACACACGGCUUAAAAAUAAGGUGAAAAUCUUGAAAAUGUAUUGCUUAAUAGCUCAUUCAUGGUGUGCUUAUUGGUGUGUAUGUUUAGUGUGAGCAACACUGAUUGCAUCAUAUGUCAAACGUAUGUUGUAUAAAUGCUAAUGGUGUCAAUUUAAAUAUUAUAAUGCAUAAUUUCCUUCCAUCUGUCAAAACAAACACGUUAAUUGGGAUAAAAUCACCUUAAAGUCUCAAACUUUAUGCAUGCUAAAAGUUAAGCAUGACAGAAAAAAAUAAAAUUAUUGUCAAAUCUGGAAAUUCAAUGCUUUUAUUUUGAAUAUUCAUACUUUUAACCUAUGAAACGGUUCAAUUUAGUCUGGAACACCUCCACAAUAUAACAUGCUCAAUAAAUAAUAAUCAUAACUGUAAAUAUAUCUUAUUUAAAUGUCAGAUAUACCAGAAAAUAAGUAAAGCAACACAAGAAAAUAAGAACCCUAAAAAUAAUCAUAAAAAACAGUUGAACACUCAGUAAAUGACAUCAAUUUAACAGGUAAAAUCCAUCAAAAUACCAGGGAAUAUUUUUACACUGAAUAAACAUGUGACUAUUCAUUUAAAUACUUCAUUAAAUCCUCAAACUUGGUGUAAAGUUCACCAAGAGGUUGAUUUAUUUCACUCCCUCAAACGUUACUUAACUCUGCAAAUUACAUCAUUUCCAUAUGAUUUACAAGCAUUAUAAUGAUUUAGAAGCAUUUUUAAUUUAUAUUUUUAAUUUACUAUUGCUUCUUUACAAGCAAUAUAAAUGCUUGUAAAGAAAAAAAAACUGAACAAAAAAGUAACAUCAAAAGUAUUCUACUGGCAUGUAAAUAUGAUUUGAUAUAUUAAAAAUUAAUGUAGAUUUUGUAAUACUUUUUAUCUAGAAUGAAUUGCCAUUAUACUAACAAAAAAUGGACUAUACUAUAUGUAAUUGUUCCAAAAUAGCAAAAUAUGAGUAAUAUUCAAAAAUACUUUAAGCAUACUCAUGUUUUGUUGGAGUGUGAGGAUAUUUAUGUAUUUAAAACAUUUAUAAAUUUGGUACAAUAUUUUUCAUUCCAACAUAAACUCAGACAUUAUAAUGUUUUUCAGCUUUUUUGUGACUUUAUACUUUAAAUAAAGAAAUACUAUGCUGUCUUUUCUUGUUUUAUCUUCUUUAGAAAAAAACAAUUGCAAAGAAAGUAGAUCAACCUCAAACUACAAAGUCUCAUUGUUGUUGUUCUACGGCAACACCUUUGGGUUAAAAUUGCUCAGCUACCAAUUGAAUAGAUUUUGAACUCAUAAGUGAAACAGCAGCAGGGAGGGAAUGCAAAGCAGAACUUUCCAACACAUUUGACAGGCAUGUGUUUUCCAAACAGUCCAUAAACAUAAAUGUUAGUUUAAUUAAUUUUUCGAAAUUUCCAUUAGGUGUUUUUGUUACUCUACACAAAGAGCUGCAUCAAACUCCUAAGUAACAUGGAGCUAAAACCUAAGGAGCAAGGGCUGAAAUAGGAUGCAGCCAAAGUUAUAUCUGCUUGAUAACAAAUAAAAUUCUAUAUCUGAAAAAAAGUAAGGUGGGAGAGGAAUACUAAAUUCUAUAAAUGCUCAAUAAAUUGAGUAAAACAGUGUUUAGAUGUGAAAACUUGCAUCAAGGCAUUUUAUGUGGAUGUCACAUUGACAUUUAACAUCAACUUUAAGAUUGCUGCAGUGCAGCCACACCCCUGACAAACACAACCCGUCAAUCCAGGGUGGGACUGAAGAUUCACUUGCCAGUGUCCCAGUAUCAGACAGCCCACAAGACAAACAACAUAAAUUAAAGUGACAGUAAACAGGCAUGUUAGGGCUCAAAAUGUUCUGAAUAUCUUGCUUGUCCUAAAAUUGUUGUCAGGUGUCACUUGCAGUCAUUUUAGUAAGUGGGUUUAGGUGCAGACAGGCAUGAAGGCAUGUUUUGUUUUGUUUUGGGGUGUUUGUGUCAGAGGUAAUGUGAUGACACAUGAUGCUGAAUUUUAAACCUGCUAUAAAUAAAUGUGU